UGGGUAACGUACCCCGAUGACUGGGACAACCCGGGGAAACCCGGGCUAAUACCGGAUGUGCCCCCUCACAUCAGUGAGGUGUGUAAAGGAAGCUUCGGCCUCCGCAUCGGGAUCGGCCUGCGGCCCAUUAGCUUGUUGGUGAGGUAACGGCUCACCAAGGCUGCGAUGGGUAGCUGGUCUGAGAGGACGAUCAGCCACACUGGGACUGAGACACGGCCCAGACUCCGUACGGGAGGNAG
rnacentral:rRNA from 1 species